rnacentral:rRNA from 1 species
UACGUAGGGUGCGAGCGUUGUCCGGAAUUAUUGGGCGUAAAGAGCUUGUAGGCGGUCUGUCGCGUCUGCUGUGAAAAUCCGGGGCUCAACCCCGGACUUGCAGUGGGUACGGGCAGACUAGAGUGUGGUAGGGGAGACUGGAAUUCCUGGUGUAGCGGUGAAAUGCGCAGAUAUCAGGAGGAACACCGAUGGCGAAGGCAGGUCUCUGGGCCGUAACUGAUGCUGAGGAGCGAAAGCAUGGGGAGCGAACAGG